GUCUAGUUAGCAAUUAUACCGCGAAACUGCGAAUGGCUCAUUAUAUAAGUUAUCGUUUAUUUGAUAAUACUUUACUACUUGGAUAACCGUGGUAAUUCUAGAGCUAAUACAUGCUGAAAAUCCCGACUUCGGAAGGGAUGUAUUUAUUAGAUUAAAAACCAAUGCCCCUCGGGGCUCUCUGGUGAAUCAUGAUAACUAGUCGAAUCGACAGGCCUUGUGCCGGCGAUGGCUCAUUCAAAUUUCUUCCCUAUCAACUUUCGAUGUUUGGGUAUUGGCCAAACAUGGUGGCAACGGGUAACGGAGGGUUAGGGCUCGACCCCGGAGAAGGAGCCUGAGAAACGGCUACUACAUCCAAGGAAGGCAGCAGGCGCGCAAAUUACCCAAUCCCGACACGGGGAGGUAGUGACAAUAAAUACUGAUACAGGGCUCUUUUGGGUCUUGUAAUCGGAAUGAGUACAAUUUAAAUCCCUUAACGAGGAACAAUUGGAGGGCAAGUCUGGUGCCAGCAGCCGCGGUAAUUCCAGCUCCAAUAGCGUAUAUUAAAGUUGUUGUGGUUAAAAAGCUCGUAGUUGAACCUUGGGCCUGGCUGGCCGGUCCGCCUCACCGCGUGCACUGGUCCGGCCGGGCCUUUCCCUCUGCGGAACCCCAUGCCCUUCACUGGGUGUGGCGGGGAAACAGGACUUUUACUUUGAAAAAAUUAGAGUGCUCAAGGCAGGCCUAUGCUCGAAUACAUUAGCAUGGAAUAAUAGAAUAGGACGUGUGGUUCUAUUUUGUUGGUUUCUAGGACCGCCGUAAUGAUUAAUAGGGACAGUCGGGGGCAUCAGUAUUCAAUUGUCAGAGGUGAAAUUCUUGGAUUUAUUGAAGACUAACUACUGCGAAAGCAUUUGCCAAGGAUGUUUUCAUUAAUCAGGAACGAAAGUUAGGGGAUCGAAGACGAUCAGAUACCGUCGUAGUCUUAACCAUAAACUAUGCCGACUAGGGAUCGGACGAUGUUACAUUUUUGACGCGUUCGGCACCUUACGAGAAAUCAAAGUGC
rnacentral:rRNA from 1 species